rnacentral:rRNA from 7 species
UAAAGAAAGCGUAAUAGCUCACUGGUCGAGUCGGCCUGCGCGGAAGAUGUAACGGGGCUAAACCAUGCACCGAAGCUGCGGCAGCGACACUGUGUGUUGUUGGGUAGGGGAGCGUUCUGUAAGCCUGUGAAGGUGGCCUGUGAGGGUUGCUGGAGGUAUCAGAAGUGCGAAUGCUGACAUAAGUAACGAUAAAGCGGGUGAAAAGCCCGCUCGCCGGAAGACCAA